UAACACGUGGGUAACCUACCUAUAAGACUGGGACAACUUCGGGAAACCGGAGCUAAUACCGGAUAAUAUGUUGAACCGCAUGGUUCAAUAGUGAAAGAUGGUUUUGCUAUCACUUAUAGAUGGACCCGCGCCGUAUUAGCUAGUUGGUGAGGUAACGGCUCACCAAGGCAACGAUACGUAGCCGACCUGAGAGGGUGAUCGGCCACACUGGAACUGAGACACGGUCCAGACUCCUACGGGAGGCAGCAGUAGGGAAUCUUCCGCAAUGGGCGAAAGCCUGACGGAGCAACGCCGCGUGAGUGAUGAAGGUCUUAGGAUCGUAAAACUCUGUUAUUAGGGAAGAACAAACGUGUAAGUAACUGUGCACGUCUUGACGGUACCUAAUCAGAAAGCCACGGCUAACUACGUGC
rnacentral:rRNA from 1 species